rnacentral:rRNA from 1 species
AGGGUUUGAUCAUGGCUCAGGAUGAACGCUGGCGGCGUGCUUAACACAUGCAAGUCGAACGAACCUUCGGGUUAGUGGCGGACGGGUGAGUAACGCGUGAGAAUCUGCCCUCAGGAGGGGGAUAACGGUUGGAAACGACCGCUAAUACCCCAUAUGCCUACUGGUGAAAUGAAUUUCGCCUGAGGAUGAGCUCGCGUCUGAUUAGCUAGUUGGUGAGGUAAUGGCUCGCCAAGGCUUCGAUCAGUAGCUGGUCUGAGAGGAUGAUCAGCCACACUGGGACUGAGACACGGCCCAGACUCCUACGGGAGGCAGCAGUGGGGAAUUUUCCGCAAUGGGCGAAAGCCUGACGGAGCAACGCCGCGUGAGGGACGAAGGCCUCUGGGCUGUAAACCUCUUUUCUCAAGGAAGAAGAUAUGACGGUACUUGAGGAAUAAGCCACGGCUAAUUCCGUGCCAGCAGCCGCGG